rnacentral:tRNA from 1 species
GUUUUAAUAAUUUAACUAAAAUAUUGAUUUUGUAAAUCAAAUUUAAGAAUUUUCUUUUAAAAUA